rnacentral:lncRNA from 1 species
UUUAUUUUUUUAUUUAACCUUUAUUUAACCAGGUAGGCAAGUUGAGAACAAGUUCUCAUUUACAAUUGUGACCUGGCCAAGAUAAAGCAAAGCAGUUCGACAACAUACAACAACAGAGUUACACAUGGAGUAAAACAAAUAUACAGUCAAUAAUACAGUAGAAAAAUAAGUAUAUGUACAAUGUGAGCAAAUGAGGUGAGAUAAGGGAGGUAAAGGCAAAAAAGUCCAUGGUGGCAAAGUAAAUACAAUAUAGCAAGUAAAACACUGGAAUGGUAGAUUUGUAGUAGAAGAAAGUGCAAAGUAGAAAGAGAUAAUGGGGUGCAAAGGAGCAAAAUAAAAUAAAUACAGUAGGGGAAGAGGUAGUUGUUUGGGCUAAUUAUAGAUGGGCUAUGUACAGGUGCAGUAAUCUGUGAGCUGCUCUGACAGCUGGUGCUUAAAGCUAGUGAGGGAGAUGAGUGUUUCCAGUUUCAGAGAUUUUUGUAGUUCAUUCCAGUCAUUGGCAGCAGAGAACUGGAAAGAGAGACGGCCAAAGGAGGAAUUGGCUUUGGGGGUGACCAGAGAGAUAUACCUGCUGGAGAGCGUGCUACAGAAGACCAGUGAGCUGAUGGAGAAUGUGUCCCAGGUGAGGGCCCAGGAGAUAGCAGCGCUGAGGGGGAAGGUGGGGACCCUGGAGCCGGCCCUAGGGCUCAUGGUGGGGGAGUUUGAGAGAGACAGCACCGGGCCCUGGACAGCAUCCAGGCCGGCCAAGUGGAGUUGGACAAGUUGCAGAAGCUGCUGGCCAUGCGGGAGAAGGAGAUGGGGCGAGUGAAGCGGCAGCCAGAGCAUUGUGUAGCAACGCACAGAGCUAGAAUGAUUCUUCCAGGAGGUCCUGGGCAAGGUGAAGCAUGAGAUCCAGGCCUGCCGGCUGCAGUACAGGCAGGAGCCCCCCCGUAGGAGGAUGAGUAAGGCCUGGUCAGGCAAGCAGGAGUACUCCUGAAUCCACACCUUCCCCAAAACCCCUCACAGCACCAACAGUGUCUACACCGACCUGGAGGAAGCUGAGAAGUGG